ACAAAGAUACACUGACGUCACAGUUUAAAAUGACGUCAUAGUUUACUUCGUUACAUUAUUAUUCAGUGGAUUAUUAGCAUCAUGAGAUUCUGCACCAGUUGAUUGAUUAGCCUGUUUUCAUAUAUGUAGUCCUACAGCAAAUUACCACAGCAACAAGGUCAUAGACUACGACAAAUAGGACGCCACGGAUGUUCUAUGUAUAAUCACCAAUUAUGAAUUAUCCUGAAGAAAUGCGUCCGGUUACCCGGGCCCCCGAUUAUGGCAUCCUGACCAUGGUAUCCCUGUGUUGUUGUUUCUGCCCCUUAUCAAUAGUUGCUGUCAUCUAUUCGUGCAAAUCUCGCAGAGCCGCCAACGAAGGCCGUGUUGAAGACGCCAGACGGCUGGGCCAGACUGCGAAGAGGUGGGCCAUAGCGUCUAUCGUGACCUGCAUCGUUAUCCUGAUCGCCGGCGUCAUUUUCGGCAAGAUGAUCUCCGCCAAAAUGGAAUGACUGUAACCUAUUGUUGAGAUUUGCACCUAAGCCACCCCAACCCAAGCCACCCACCCUGUUAAAACAUAGGUUGUCACCUAUUGUUGCUGCCACAAUCCAACUCUACAUCAGGGCUGGGAGUGUUCCAGAGGCAUCCUCCAAGUAGCACGAAGUGACAAACCAACUGUGUAGUGGGUGUUCUGCUCAGCCAUUUUCUGGGGGGCCUUUUCAGAACUGGCUCCUGGACUAUAUGUUGGCCAAGACACUAAUGCUAUAUAUUUUGUUUUUCUUGCUUUAUAAGAUUACGUUGAUUUGUUUCACACAGUUGUUUCGUAACAGUUGAGUUGAUAUGUGCCUUAACGUAGUUCUGUCUCACCAUUGUCGUUUGUGAUAAAUACGCAGGUCACGGAUUGAUUGAUGGGUGGAUGGGCAAAUGAAUGGAAACACAUCACUAUUUUAUAUUAAAAUAAUAGAUUUAAAACUAGCAAGCCGCAACUUCAUUAUGAGAACUUAAUCUUAGGUGGUCUCAAGGACGGACACAGUGAUUAAUUGAGGUAGAGGGCAAACUAAAAAACACCGUUUCAACACACUGACAUUGUGCCAACAAAUGAAUUACUGCAUCAGUUUGUUUCCACAAAAGCAAUCUGAUUGAACUUAGAUGUGGGUGUGGGUGUAGGUGGGUGUGGGUAAUUCUUGGCAUGUUUCCAUCAGAGAACUGUUCAAGUCAUGGGCACAACCUCUAACUUCGCCAGAGUUCUGUACACGCCAGGUGAAAUCAGCUCUACUGGUCUACCAGUUAUAGAACAGGUGCCCGUUCCACGAAGCGAUCUUACCGCUAAGAUCACCUUAAGUGCAUCAAGUGGUUAUGCACUUAAGGAUAAGGGGCUGAUUUAAAUCAUAUUGUACAAAAUGUUAAUUGUUUCGUUUCAUAUAUAAAUUAGAUUCCAUCGAUUUGCUUUUUUGUGUGCAAUUCAUUCUUUGAUUUAUUUUAAACUGGAACGAGGAAUUGUAAUCUUCAACCAUCCUAGUAUUCUGAAAUAUAUUAUAAAUGUUCUUAUAAUCUUGAUUCAUAAUUUUUAAAUGCGCAUCGGUGGUUACAUUUCUCAAAGAGUCCCGCUGGUCUAGUGGAUAAGCUGCUGGACAAUCCAGCUGUUCAAAUCCCGCCAAAGCAGCCUGACACAUUCAUUCAGCUUUCCUAUCACCCUCUUCCUUUAAUGGCAUACAAUUCCUGAACAUGUCCCUGUGUCCUCAAAGGUGUCGGACCUGCGAAUGAGAAAAUCCUAUUUUGGGUAGAACCGGUAAGACGAAUAAUAAAUGUCCCAGGAAGUAGAAGGGUCUAAAUGAUUUGCAUGUUCUUCAUUGUCGUAUGAUCCGUGUUUUCUUUAACAACGAAGUUAGGAAGGGUAGGCCUAUCCGCACAGGAUAGUAGCUACGGUUGUUUUGUUUGUUUGCUUGUUGUUUGUUAUUUUUUAUGUGUUUUGUUUUAGGAUUACAUUCGGGGUAUCAUUUGUGCUUGUGCGUGUUUUAUUUUAUUUAUGAUGAAAAUUCGACUGUGUUGGGUCAUUUGUCAUUGGUUCAUUGAUAAUUUGGGUGGUGUACUUUUAAAUUAAAGUACUGUGAUACAGUAUCAGCAAUUUUUUGUCGUUAUUGGAAUGCUGUGAAUAUAUGUCAUACUAGUAUACUUGCAAUUGCCACGUUAUCAUUGUUACGGUGAGAACUGUUGUCACACUAUUACACAGUUUGUGAAAUAAAUUAUCUGCGAUAA
rnacentral:lncRNA from 1 species